AGAAAUGUUCUGUUGAUCCUUCUUCUUCUUCUUUUUUUUUUUUUUUGCUAAGAUGGGUGAUGGAAUCUAGGUCUCUUGUAUCUUCGGCCCCUUCACCAGCUUGCAAAUAAAAAGCACCAGACCACCGGCCGUUGAUUAAGCUAAUGAAAGUAAACAGCAGCUUGAUGUUGAAAACAAUUUGUUUAAGUAUUUAUAUGGAUUUCUCAGACUUCGUGUAACUCUAUGUUUCUACUAAUUUACUUGCAUUAUUUUAGGAUUUCCUUUGUCAUCACUCAUCAUUAUGGACUAUUGCAUUGUGUCUUUAUUGUAAAAAUCUAACCAUCUGCAUCUUAUAUUUGUUAGUCUUACUGAAGUAUCUUUCAUGCUCAACUAUUUUGAUCUAAUGCACACCAGUAUUUGCAUUCGAGAUGGUCGACAGGACUGUGGUAAGUGUUUUAACUGGUGAGAAGCAUCAAGUUCAAACUCAAUAGGUGCCAAUUCUACUGUUAUUCUCCACAUUAAGGAGGAAAAAAAAAAAACAACCUGGGCUCGAGGUUAGAUUCUGGGUUUGUACCCUGAGCUCAAGGUUUUGGACCAGUGUCGGUUAGCAAAAUGACCACGAGAGUUUCUAGUCUUGGUCUUUUGCACAUAUGGUCUGUGCUGCAGCUCUCAUGCGAACCUAUGCAUCUAAAUUUAUUAUUAUUUCAAUUUUUCUUACAAAAGCUUUGUUGAUCAUCAUGUUAUUAACUUCAUAAUGUUGCUGGGAAAUGGGCUUUGGACCACCUUUUUUACUGUAAUGGGCUUGGAUCUGUCAAACUUAUUCGAGUCGAAUUGCCAUGUGCAAACAAAUAAUAACACAGUCAGAUCUAUCAAAGCCAAACCGGCAUGCACACAAUAUACUAAUAUCAGAUCCAAGUUGUCUCUUCAUGUGUAACCUUACUUGUUCUGUUCUUGGCCAAUGUAUAUAGACAUAAAUCCUUUUCCAGCUUCAACAACCUCCUACGUACCAACACUGCCUUUAGACAGAUCAAAAGACCUGAAAAAGAUUUAAAGUUGUGAUGGAAGAUCAUUAAUUUGUCCAUACUCACCAUGGUCGUAAUUUGAUGUAGUCCAUGAAGAACCGGUCAUCCAUUUCAUGCAUAGAGUGAACAAACACAUCACGCAAGUCUGAAAGGCAGGAAAGUAGAAGCAAACAACACAUCACGCAAGCCUGAAAGGUGAAAGGCAGGAGAGUAGAAGCAAAGCGGAAAAGGACGAAGGAAACCAACCUUUCUUCGGUACAGAAGGAAGCCAACUUUUUAAACACAUUUUUCUUCAAAGGUUGGCAACCAGCCGACCUCUACAGUUGAUUCAAACUACCAGCCAGCUAGUCUUAGCUGUUAACUGAUGGUCCCAGGGUCCAUGGAUUAAAUGACGGCAACCAUAGCUUCACGUAGGAAGGUCACAAAACACACAGCUAAUCGUGUUGGCUAAGAUGCCAAAAGACUGAUUGAUGUUUCCAUAUUCCAAGUACCAUUUUUUAAUGCAAGUUGGCAGGUCAGCUUCAAGUGUCUAAUAUGAAUCAUAAAUUUCACAAGUUGUGAUGCUUCUGCACCGACGGUCAUUUUAAACAUUUAUAUGGCUCUCUAGGAAAGAUCAGUCUAAAUUUCUUUUUGUUUUGGGAAUGUUAGAGGGUUACAUUCCAAUAAAAAAAGGAAGACUACCAGGGAUUUCCUAAUAGACAAUGAUCUCAACAGGAGCAUUCUCGGUUGCUUCCUAUAUUACAAGCACAUGAACUGUGCAUCAAGAUGAGCUGUCCAAGCUUCUAUAUGUCAACUCUACCAUUAUAAUUUGGUUGUUAGAAGGCAUGUAUGAAAUAGUGACUCAAGGUGUCCUUUUAUUGCUUAAGAAGUAUGUUUAUUAGAAAUCUCUUCUGGAUGGAAUCGAAUGUCGGUGAUGAUUUAAAAUAGAACUGUGAAUAGGUUUGGAAGUAUUAGGAGUAUCUUCCCCUGGUUGAUCCUGAAUCAAUCAGUCUCGGGCUUGAUGUUCCAUCUUUGAAAAUGACAAUACCUUACUUUAAAAAAAAAAAAUCUUACCAACUACUAUUUCCGGUUGAUCAAAGGUUAAACGUAACAAAAAGUUUUUUUUUUCUUUUUAUUUGACUUUUCACAUAAUAAAAGCAAACAACUUAUGAAUAUCACACACGCACUGAAUUACAAUUAUCAUUUAAGUUGAGCUGUCCAAGCUUCUACAAUGUCAACUCUGCCUCUUUUUUUUUAUUUUUAUUUUUUUUUAUUUUUAAGAGGCAGCAUAUCUGUAAUUCCUAUUUAAUCUUUUUGAUGUAAAACAAAUCUUAAUAUGGUGGACUUUGUUUUUUUUUUUCCCCCUCACAACUUUCUUUAAUUAAAGAAUUAGAAUUUUCAAUGGAAUGAACUAACAUUAUAAUAAUAUUUAUAGAUAAAGAAAGAUGCUCGUAAAAUUUCAUGAGACGAUCUAUGAUUUGCUUUGAUAAUUUUGACAUUCAUAGUUAGAGUCACUAUCAAAAAAAUUGUCACUCAAAUCUAUCACAAAGAUUGUAACAUCUUAGGAUCUCAUCCAAAAGACUAGCUGGAAGAUAUUAUUUGCAAAAAUACAAAUGAAUUGGAUUGGAUCGGAUCAUGAGUGACCUCGAUCCGAUCCUAUUCCUUGAUCAGGUCUAAAUAUUGGAUCCAAAUCUAAUCCAAUACAUGAUCGGAUCGGAUCAUGUCCAUGAUCAAAUUUCUUGAUCCAAUGGAUCAUUCGGGUCAGAUCGGAUUUAUGUAUAAUCCAGGCCUGAUCCAUGAAAUACGGAUCUAAUUCGGAUCUGGAUCUGAGCCGGUUCAUUUCUAAGUUGUACAUAAUAAGAUCAAUAAGUAGAAGAUGUAUAAACAACCUUAUUUACACUAUAAAUUUGAUCAUGAUAUGUAAGACUAUUAGAGCGCCAUGUUCCACGUUCUUCACCAAAGAACCCAAAAAGCCUAAUCACAUUUUCCUCACCAUUGCCUAUUAAUCCAAAUUUAAAAUAUUUUAAUAAAAAUUUUAAAAAUAAGAAUCUAAAAAUUAAUAGAAUGUAUUUUUAAGAGCAAUAGAUAUUAAAGCAGCCUCGACAAAAUUAACAUUCAUGUGACAUUGGAAUAGAAAGAGAUGAGGGAUGGGUUCGGGUCGCAUCAGUUUGAAUCAAAAAUUAGUAAAUCUAGAUCCGAUCCGAAAAAUGGAAUGGGUCAAAUUUUAGAAUCCAAUUCGAAUUCGCGGGUCCUUUAAAACGGUUCGGAUUGGAUUUACACAGGUCGAGUCAUGGGUUAAUCCGACCCACUUGCAGCUUUAAUUAUUUGGAUUCUUUGGUCCUAUAUAAAUACUUAAGAUUUUCUUACCACGAUCAGUUUAUGAUCAAUCCCAAUAAAUUCGUGCUACAGUAUCUCCUACUUUAUAUAGAUUAUGAAUUGGAUCAACUUUGAUACCAUUUGUAUCAAUCCAGGAUCUCACGCAAAAGACUAAUUGGAAGAUAUUAUUUGGAUUCUUUGAUUUUGUAUAAGCAUCUAAAAUUUCACUAGAAAAUAAUUGAUAUAGGACUAAAUGCAGAUCCUCACAAACUUUUUUUUUUUUUGGUUACUCCAAAAUUAGGUCAAUAAAGUCAGGUGGUGGUUUCCUGCUUCCCUUUCCUUAAAAAAAAGAAAAGGGUUAUUCUGAAAAUAGUGAUGAGGGAGCUGUCAGUUAGAAUUACUUGGGUCAGUUAGAGCACUUAGGAAUCAAUAUUGUGAUAUUUGAACUGAAAUCCUUCUCCAAUGAGAAGCAAUGCAAUUAUUAGACAGCCGAAUAUCUACAACAAUAACCAUUAUUUAUAGACUCUUUGUUUUCUUUCUUUUCCCUCCUCCCGUGAGAGAAAACAGAGGAAACACCCCUCCAUUUUACAGAGGGGUUUAAAGACCACGACGGUGAAACCAGAAUCUAUUGCGAUCAUAGAAAAUUUACAGCUAUGUUAGGGGUAACAAACCUCUUCACUCUUUUGUCUCUUGCUUACACGAGAGUCUUUUGUGGAUUGAUUGGGUUUGUUUGCACAGUAGCUACUAAGAACAGUCGGUGUACGGUAAACUUUUGCAACAGGCUCUCUUAUCCGACUUUGAUAUGCAGCCCCCCCUUCAAAACGAGAGAAAAAGGGAGGAAAAUGGUGGAAUCGCCAAAAUAAACUAAUCACACAACCUCCCUUGGUAUAAGAAACGCAGAGGCUGACGACCGCCAUGAGGAAGGAGUCGGGAGGAAAAGAGAAACAAGGAGGAAGAGGAAUGAAGGCUUCAAGGAGCUUUGGCAGGCCAGAGCCAUGGAGGAUAGGGAAUGUGUUCAUCAUAGUAUCCGUGAUCCUUUCCCUUGGCAUCCUCUCUCUCAUCAAGGCUCACUAUUGCUCCUAUCCAUAUGGUCCGUCUCUGUCUCUAGUUCUUUUGAGGGAAUUCUUAGUGAUUCUUCUCGACAUCUUUAAUUAACUAUAACUAUUGCUGCUCUUGCAGGGAAAUCACAGGCACCCUCGAAAUUAAUGGUACCAACGGAAACAAAUCUUAUGAUGGUCACGGAUCUACCAGGUAGUUUCCAUUGCAGAUGUGCUAACUGAGAAUUCAAGAAUUAAGAAAAAGCAAUGAGUUGAAAGGAAAGUUCUAGCAUAGUUAUAAACGCUAGUGCGAGAGAGAAACAAUGACAGAUCAAAUAACAAUAAAUACCGACAAUUGACAAGAAUCUAAAUUUCAACAGUUAGCCGCUUUUAGUUGUUCUUUUAGUCAAGGAUAUUACGUGAGCAAUCUAAUACUUCUCAAAAAGGAGAGAGCAAUCUAUGAAUUAUAACAUCCAAGGAAAAGUUUGUUUAGAGACCUUUUCAAUGGAUGAAGCUUUUGUGCUAAAGCUGUACUACUAAUUUUUGUUUUCAGAGGAUGAAGAUGAUGAAGGAAACAGCACUGCAGCCAACAUGGGCAAACCGAUAUGCUACGAAACAAGCAAGAGAUCUGAUACUUGCGAAGCGGAGGGCGAUAUAAGGGUGCAUGGGAGCUCUCGCACCGUGUUUGUCCAACCUUUGUCGAGGAGGCAAGAAAGGAAGGCCAAACCUUAUGCUCGAAAGAACGAUGCUGUCGCCAUUGCCAAUGUAAAAGAAUGGUCAUUGAAAGCAUCAAACAGUCACCAGCUGCCUCCUGAAUGCACCAUAAACCAUACGGUCCCUGCCAUGAUCCUCUCUGUUGGAGGCUAUGCCGGCAACCUCUUCCACGACUUCACCGAUGUAUUGGUCCCCCUGUUCAUAAGCUCUCAUCAGUUCCAUGGCGAAGUCCAAUUCUUGAUCUCCGACUUCAAAUCUUGGUGGGUGAACAAAUAUGGCUUGGUCUUCAAACAGCUCUCCAAGUAUGAGAUCGUCGAUGUGGACAGCGAGCAAGAGAGCACGGUGCGGUGCUUCCCUCGGGUGGUCAUGGGGCCGAGCUUCCACAAGGUGCUAGGCGUGGAUGCAAGUAGGUCUCCCACCGGAUACUCCGUUGUAGAUUUCAAAGCAAUGCUGAGGGAGGCACUUGGACUGGAGAGGGCGACUGCGACGCCUCCAGAAGAUGAAUGGGACAUAAGGAGGAGGCCUAGGCUGUUGAUCCUAUCUCGUCAGAACACAAGAAGAUUCUUGAAUGAGAGGGGGAUGGUGGACAUGGCAAUGAGCUUGGGGUUCGAUGUGAGGAUCGGUCAGCCGGAUGUGAGCACCGAUGUAGCGAAGUUUGCGAGGCUGGUGAAUUCGGCCGAUGUGAUGAUCGGAGUCCAUGGGGCAGGGCUCACCAACAUGGUGUUCCUCCCUGCAGGGGCUGUGAUCAUUCAGGUUGUGCCCAUGGGUGGUCUGGAGUGGCUGGCCAAAGAAACCUUCCGUGAUCCUGCAGAGGAAUUGGAGCUCAAGUACUUUGAGUACAAAAUCCAAGCAGAUGAGAGCACACUCGGUGAACAAUACCCCAAGGACCAUCCCGUGCUGACAAACCCCUACAAAAUCCACAAGCAGGGGUGGAACACACUCAAGUCUGUGUACUUGGACAAUCAAAAUGUGAGGCCUCACUUGGGCAGGCUUAGGAACACCUUGAUGGAAGCUCUCAAGCACCUACCUCACAAUGUAACCAGCUAAGUAUGCAACUGUUGGAACUAGAUGAUCCCCCUCCCCCUCAUAUCUCUUUCUUUCCCCCUUUUUUUGUUCUUCUAUAUUGUAAUCAUUUUGUUUGCUUGUAAGAUGAUAGAUAUGAGUGUAUGGUGCAAAUGCAUCAGAGAAUAUUAAUUAUACAUUAUUAGUUAUGAAAAUGUCGUGAAAGAAGUGAUUUCAAGGUUCAAUCAACUUUAAAUGGUGUAGACAGCUAUCAAGCAGAUUUCUUUUUUUUUUUCUGUUUCCAUCACUGGCUUGCUUUAUUCCUCUUAGACUAAUGGAAAUGUCAGAUAAAAUUGCAAGAGAAUAAACAUAUCGUUGUGCAUGAUUGUCGGACAUGGGAAUUAAUACAUUUUAUGUGAUUAAGACAAUAUAAUAAAAAUAUAAUUGGAGCAAACAAUAUAACUAAUAAUAUUCACAAUUUUUUAUCGCUUUCCACUUGAAGGUUAUUAAUAAUGGGAUGAUAUGAACCUGCCAAACUAGUAAAAGAGAAUUUGCCAUCAAUAAAGGAGAUAUAUGUUUGGCAUCCUUUUCAAUUGGUGCAUUGGUGGACAUAAACGAAGGUUGGUAUAGGAGCAUUAACUUACGGUAGUUUGUGCACAACAGAAAAGAGGAAUUGGGAUUUGAUCUUCAAGCAUAUAAUUUCAGGGAAGUGAUACUCAAGCAUAUUUCGAAUAAAAUGAUAGUUGAUUCCAAUAUGCUUAAAUCAUGGUUAACUGACCAAUACAAUCUGAACUAUACUCGAACUGCUGAUAGGCAAAGAAUUACAAGUUUGGAUUAAAAUACCAGGGUUGGAGAUAAGACCUCUCUUAUUAUGAUGUCUAACUUUAGAAACAGAGUUGAAUGCUAGAUUUAACUUUUCUUUUAUAUAUAUAUGUAUGUAUGUAUCAAAGUUGGGGAGGUCUCCUGGAAGAAGAGGAAUGCCAACAAUUAACAUGUUGACCAAAGUUGCGGGGGGAGUUCGGCUACAGAACUGCAUGUUCAAAAAGCCAAAAGAAUUGCAGGACCCAUCAUGAGGAAAACAUGCAACCGGAUACCUUGCAUGUUUGACAUUUGUGCAAAACACAAGUUCUAGUCCUUGAAUGGUAAAAAAACCACUUCAUGGAUCCACAGAAACCAAAGACCUUAUGGUUUGUAUUAGACCAUUAGGUAAGCAAGUUUCCAUCAAGCUUAUGCCACAAAGGAUGAUUUAGAAUGCAACUGCUUGCAUGGAAUGUUUAUCAAUCAUCUCAAGUAGGGAGCUUACAUCACUUGUACUAGGUGAUUGUUAGUAGUUUGGCUUGGACUAGCCAAGGAUGGCCCCCGAAAAUAUGGCAACAUUUUUUGACUCCAAGAAUGGAUUAUCAUGAUCAAGUUCUUUCAUCUAGAAGGUCAAAAAAAAGGACAUUAAGUAUUAUCGAAAAGCAAUUAUGUGACAAAGCACCAAUAAUUGCCAUAUUCUCAUUACUCUCUCUCUCUCUCUCUCAUUCUCUCUCUCUCCCCCCGCCUCUAUAGAUUGGAACUUUUGUAUCUCCUCAAGGGCAAGCUCUUAGAUAAGACUGUGCCAACCAAUUGAGGUAAUAAUUGUUAAUCUCCCUUGACUAUCUUUAGUAAAAGUGCCAAGUCUCAUAAUUUUUGGAUUAUGGAUAAGCAAAUGAUUUUUCUUCACGAUUUGAGAAAAUAAGUAAUUGAUUGCAAUGCGCACUUCUCUAGUGUUGAAAUUUGAUUUGCCCUUCAACAUGCCAACAAUUAACAUGUUGGCCAAAUUUGUGGAGGGAAUUCAGCUAAGAAAACUUCAUGUUCAAAGAAGCCAAAAGAAAUGUAGCACCCAUUAGGAGAAAAACAUACAACUUGACAUGUUGCACAUUUGAGAUUUGUACAAAACACAAGUUCUAGUCUUUGAAUUGUAGAAAAAAUCACUUCAUAGUUCCACAGAAACCAAAGACUUUAUGGUUUGUGUUAGACUAUUAGGUAAGCAAGUCUCCAUCAAGCUUAUGCCAUAAAGCAUGAUUUAGAGUGCAACUGCUCGCAUGGAAUGUUUAUCAAUCACCUCAAGUAGGUAGCUAACAUCACUUAUACUAGGUGAUUGUUAAUAGUUUUGCUUGGACUAGCCAAGGAUGGCCCACAAAAAUAUGGCAAUUUUUUGACUCUAAGAAUGGAUUAUAAUGAUCAAAUUCUUUCAUCUAGGCUCAAAAAAAGGACAUUAAGUAUCAUCAAGAAGCAAGUAUUUGACAAAGCAUCAAUAAUUGCCAUAUUUUCAUCACUUACUCACACACACUCUCUCUAUUAUAGAUUGAAAUUUUAUGUCUCCUCAAGAGCAUGCUCUUAGAUAAGACGUGCCAACUAGUUGAGGUAAUAAUUGUUAAUCUUCUAGAACUAUCUUUAGCUAAAAGUGCCAACUCUCAUAAUUUUUGGAUUAUGGAUAAGCAAAUAAUUUUUUUUUCAUGAUUCGAGAAAAUAAGUAAUUGAUUGAGACACACUCUGCUCUAAUGUACAAUUUGAUUUGCCCUUCAACAUGCCAAUGAUUAACAUGUUGGCCAAAUAUGAGGGUUGGGGGUGGGGGGGGGGGGGACGUUCAUGUUCAAAGAAGCCAAAAGAAAAUGUAGGACCCAUUAUGAGAACAACAUGCAACUUGGACACCUUGCAUGUUUGAGAUUUGUACAAAACACAAGUUCUAGUCCUAGAAUGGUAGAAAAAACCACAUCAUAGUUCCACAAAAGCCAAAGACUUUACGGUUUGUUUUAGACUAUAUAUUAUGCAAGCAAGUUUCUAUCAAGCUUAUGCCAUAAAGCAUGAUCUAGAAUGCAACCACUCGCAUGGAAUGUUUAUUAAUUACCUCAAAUAGGGAGCUUACAUCACUUGUACUAGGUGAUUGUUAGUACUUUUGCUUGGACUAAUCAAGGAUUGCCCACGAAAAUAUCUCAACUUUUUUGACUCCAAGAAUGGAUUAUAAUCUUCAAAUUCUUUCAUCUAGAGGGUCAAAAAAAAAGGGAUAUUAAGUAUUAUCAAGAAACAAUUAUAUGACAAAGCACCAAUAAUUGCCAUAUUUUGAUCCACCGUACCCUCUCUCUCUAUUAUAGAUUUGAACUUUGUGCCUCCUCAAUUACAAUCUCUUAGAUAAGAGGUGCCAACCAAUUGAGGUGAUGAUUGUUAAACUCCCUUAACUAUUUUCUUUAGCUAAAAAUAUCAAGCUUCUGGUUUAUGGAUAAGCAAAUGAUUUUUUUUUUUUCAUGAUUUCAUGAGAAUAAAUAAUUGAUUGCGGCGCAAACUGCUCUAGUAUUGAAAUUUGAUUUGCCCUUCAACAUCACAUCCAUAGGGCAUACAAUAAUGCAUGCCAGAUGAGAAAGAAUUCGACAGAUGCUCUCUUCAAUUUUGAAUCCAGCUAAUAGAAAAAUGCCUUUUGGGCCAGAACUAGAAUAACAAGAUACUUUUGAUCCCUUAGUAAAAAGGCCCAGCAUUUUUACACCCCAAUAUUACUUUUAAGAUUCUAUUAUAUACAUAUAUAUGCUUCAUGACUUACUCUGUAUUCUUUUUCUCCAGGCCAUGAAAAGAGCCAAACGCCACAUGGUUCAGAUUCUUGUGGAUCAAGUCAGAGGACAAGUGGUUCAAAAUUCCAGUGGCUCGAGCUACCAAUAAUUCACCUGCCACCUAACGGCUUAUGGAGAUGACAUGCCUCCCCCACCUGGCCAUCAAUCCUUCUAUUUGUCAUUGCACCGCCGUACGGAGGGGAUCCCAAAAAGUUGACAACAACCGACCCGGGCGACGCCAAAUAACACCUCGCUGCAUGGGCUGCCACGAGACCAUGAAAUAAAUUAAAAAAAAAAAAGAAGGGUUCAAAUAAAGGCCGGCCUAAUUUUGUGGACUCGACUUUGCUAUUCUGCGUCUAAACGCUUCUGGAAAUCGCCAAGCCAACCACCACAUUGGACGGCCAGGGUUUUCCGGACUUUCUAUUUGUUUUCUUUCUUUUGUUUUUUUUCGUAGAGCAAUACUUUUAAACUAUAUUAAAAAAAGUACUACAAUUAUGCUUCCACUUGCUGUCCAGCUAAAGAUGACCAGUAUUAUUAAUUUUGUAUUGAUGAGUCCUGUCGUCGUGCUGAAAAACAAAGAAAUUCUAUUAGCGAUGGAUGAAUUUGAUCCUUUUCGAUGGAUUGACUUCUUUGUGCUUGUCCGGCUAUUGGGUAAUUUCCGAAGAGAGACGUGCGAGGAGGUGUGUUGACGAGGUAAAGUGGUGUAUUUAUGGAAUGCAAAUAAUAAUAUAAACAUGCGAAUAUCAUGGUAUGCUUAUGGUGAUUUAUUUUUGCAGUCUUCUACCCUUUCUUUUGGCGAGGUAUAUGUGCUUGCACCUUUUUGUAUUUUCUAGGGGAAAAAAAGAGAGUUGAAAGCUAGUUGUACAUAAAUCUUGUAGCUACUUUAUCCAAUAAAACAAAUCUUGUAGGCAGGAAAGGUUUAAACUUCAUGUGAAUGGAGACGGCUUGCUAACAAUUAUUGACUGGGUCGAUCAAUCUUUGUCCAUGGCCAGCUAAUUAAGGAAAGGUAGAGCCCAUCUCCUUUAUGGGUCAAAUUCCGGAUGCUUUCAAUCAUGUCUCGAAGAAAGCUAUGUGAUCUCGAUGGAGAUCACAUGGCCAGCUCAUGUGAUCUCGAUGGAAAAAGAAUCAAGACCCUAUGGAAUAGAGGUCAUCCUUUUUUUUUUUUUUUAAAAAAAAAAAGGGAUGUACAAUCUAAUCAAGAAAUAACUAUGCCUCUGGAUUUAUUAUUCGUUUACUUUAAGACAUCUGGACUAAUUUGUCCCUUCAGAUGGAAAAAAAAAUAAAAUAAAAGGAAAAGAAAAUUGUUUCCAUCUCUUUUUCCAAAGACCCCGUAAAAAAAAAAAAAAAAGAACUUCCUAACACAAAUCUUACUAAAAAAAAAAAAGAAAUAUACAAAUAUAGUGAUGUACCAUAGCCUCCUUUCACUUGUGACGCUCUUUAAGCAUAUGAAAGCAUUCUCCAAAAAAUAUAGGAAAAAAAAGAAAAAAAAAGAUGAAGAUUGAAUUGAAACUUUGAGAGGUUCUUCAACAGAUUGAUGCCACCACCCUUCUAUUGCAUGAGGCUUUCAAGGGCUUUCCACAAAACAUCCCUGAACCUCCUCAAAUCAAGCUUCACGUUCUGAUUGUCCAUGAAUGUAGUCUUCACCAGAUCCCACCCACGAUUGUGGAAUGAGGAGGGGUUCUUGAACACAGGGUGGUUUCUAGGAUACACCCGUAUCAAACUGCUCUCUCUUUCACUUAUACUAUAUUGCAAAUAGUUUAGAUCCAUGUCCUUAGCCGGGUACCCAAAGUCCGUCAUAGCUAUCUUCUCCAGCCUACCCCAUGGCACUAUCUGGAUCAACGUAGCUUGCGGUGGGAGAAACACCAUAUUAGUGAGCCCUGCCCCAUGCACCCCCAUCAACACGUCGCAAGAGUUAACCAUCUCGGCAAAAUGAGUAAUAUUAGAUAAUGAAUUCGCAUUGCCGACAACCACUUUAUACCCCAAUUCUUCCGCCAUCUGAACUAUCCUUCUGACAUUUAUGAUUGCCCGGGUUCGCUUUCUUGAUAUAAUGAGCAGCCUUGGAUUCUUACGGGGGUAUUCCUCAAUUUUAGUCACCGUGUCCCUCUCCAACUGGUAGGUGCUCCUCAUAAAUUGAGUGAAAUCGACCAUAGAAUACCCAUAAGGAGCUUUCAUGGGGUCGAUGCUUAGCUCCUUGUGGCGUUGGAGACCCACAAUCACAUGCUUGAAACAAUGCACCUGGUCGUCCUCAUCCAAGUUGAUGAGUUGGUAAUUAGAGAGCUUUCUAAACACCAGUAGGUACUUGUCGACCCACCAUUGCUUCAUAUCGGUCACCAUGAAUUGAACUUCUCCAUUGAAUUGGCGCGCAGUUAAGAAGAGGGGAACUAAAAGAUCGGUGAAAUCAUGGAAGAGAUUUCCAGUGUAUCCACUGACCGAAAAAACUAUAGCUGGGAUGCUGUGAUUUUUGGUGCAUUGUGGAGCAUCUGUGCUCGAUUUAACCGUCAGUUCUCUAAUCUUGUUGAAGUCAUUGUCGGCUCCUUUGCGACUGUAAGGUCUAACUCUCCAUAAUUCAUUCCUUUCAAAGGGUUCCACAGAUAUAAUGGAGGAAGUGUUCUGAUGAAUUCUGAUAUCACCAUCCAUUUCACACAGGUCUCCUCGUCGUUCUGAAACAUGGCACAAUGGUUUCGUCGGAUUCAUAUUCUCUUGCAGCGUACCUUCACAUGCGAUGAACCCAAAAAAAAAAUAAUAAUAAGAAAGGGAAAAAAAAUAAAAAACUCAACAGGACAUGGGAAGUAAUUAGCUUGAAAGAAAAAAAGGGGGGAGACUUCCAUUAUCAUCAUUAUGAUUACUAUUGUUGUUGUUGUUGUUGUUGUUUUUUAUUGUUGUCUUCUUGUUGUUGUUGUUUAUUGUGACCUCCACCACCACCAUGAUUAUUGUUACCAUCAUCAUUAUCAUUUUGUUAUCAUCAUUCCUAAGAACAAUGGUUGAUUUAAAUAAAUAAAAAAAAAGAACAAUUUUGAAAAUGCUAGAACUUUUUCAGCAGAUUAACUUGAUCUUUCUUAUGAGAAUACAUAAUGAAAUCAGACCUCAAGAUUGCAACACUAAACAAACAUCACCAUAUGUACGAGUUCAGGAUUAGCGGCUUACCCGUUUGCGGAGAAUCUACUGGAUCUUUGGCUUCAAGAUUAUUCUGACUGAUAGGGUUUAAUGGCUUUGAACUCCCUGCAAUACCUUUCAGCAUAAACAAGACACUCUUUUUUUUUUUUGGGUUUGGGUAAAAGCAUAAACAAGACACUGAAACAGAGCAAUUUAGCAAUUGAAACCCAAUGAAGCCAUCCAAUGCAACAAGGGUAAAGUUCACAGAACAUAAUUAAUUCAUAAAACAACAAACGACCCGUGCUAAAGAAAAACUUACGAGUGAGAAAAGGAUCUAUUUGAGGUUUAGACACCACAAUGUAGGUGGAGAGUGCUACGCAUCCAAUGAUGAACACCCCUAAUCUGAAUCUUUGGGACUCGACUCGGUUGGAGCUCCUUGCCGACUUCAUCUUGUUUGCCAUCUUGGCCCUGGCGCUAGCCUUCAAUCUUUUGAAAUACUUUUCCAAUGAUAUGUUUAGUUUCUGUAGUUAUAGGAAUUCAUUUUCAACUUGUCGACAACCUGUCUCCAUUGUCAUAGUUGACCUACGGACAAUCCAUGUUUCCUUAUUCUGUGAACUCUUGCUUUGCUUCCAAAGAAAUGCAAGGUUAAUUCCUUGGUUUUCCAUCAGAGAUGACUGGUGGAUUCCAGCAGAUUAAUUCUACUAUUUGAGAGGAUUCACUCUAUGUAGUUCAGAAAGGUCUAAAGCACAUGGGACUAAACAACUCUGACGCACCAACCUCCUGAGUCUUCCAAGCAAUCUAGUCAUUAAAGAUGAUUUUGAGCAGAGCAAUGGGGACGACUAAUCCCACAAGUGAUGUUUAAAAUACGAUAAUAAAAAAUUAUCAAACUUUCUCGAUUAAAUAAAGUUCGGAUGGUCUCUCCAAAUAACCUAAUCAUAAAAGAUGAUUUCGAGCUCUACAUUUGGGAGAUUAAUCCUACCACUGUUGACGGUUAAAAUAUAAUAAUAAAAAAUUUGAGAACUUUGUCACUUAAGUAAAAAUUUAGAUGGUUUUGGUUUAUCAAUUAUGCUGCCAUGCUGUAAUGCAACAAGCUAAGUAAUCUGAGCAAAAUAGCAAAUCUAAAUGAGAGUCUAUUUCGCAAUAGAGAGUGAGGUCCCAGCGUCUUUGUCCCUUUGUCCAUUUCCGGGAACGCCAUCACCAUCUAAUUAACCUGAAGUGCCAUCAUCUCUUUACACCACGUUGUUUCCUAUACGGCAUUCCGGGCAAGUCUAUCUAAUACUCUUUUGUUUUGGUCCCGGAAAAAGGCGGGUGGGGCUCGCCCUCUCCUUUGGAGAGAGAAAUGGGACAGGUAUCAAACAGUCCGGCGGAAAGCAAGGGUAUACCCGACAAGGGUAACGGUACCCGCUGCAUGAACUCGCUGCAGAAGGGAGAAAAGUUAAUGGUUCAGAAAGUUCAUCAUUAAGAUGGCGGGAUUUUUCCUGCUUACACCUCUCAAAAAAAAANNNNNNNNNNNNNNNNNNNNUUUUUUNUUUUUUUUUUUUUUUGCAAUUUCCAAAAGGCUAGAUACGUACCUGCACUUUGAGGACAUAGUACGAAAAGUGUUGCAAAGAAUCCUAAAGUUAUUUAGUUGUUCAAAUUUAGAUAAUAUUAACUUGUUAAGGGCUACCGAGAUGUUAGACGGUAGUGAUUGCUCUCAUGAUGCAACAACCGUAUGGUAUGAUGGUAGAAUAAAAAAUUAGUAUUUGUAAAUCUUGUCACGCGCAUGCAUGUGUUUAUGUAUGGGCAAGCACAUGUAUGGAUAUAAUUUGUGACUAUGCUAUUUAAUGACUUUCCCAUCCAUACUCUACUGCUAUUUAAUGAUCGAGGCAUGGAGGCCAAAAAUAUAUGCUCCUGUCCCUUGCUUUGGGGUCCAUCUAUAUUUUAGUCCCUCAUUCAUUCAUGUGUGAAACAGGUAUGCAUAAUCAAUAACAGGUGCAUAUACUUACUUCCCGGAGAGUAGCGAAACCAAAGCUUGUGAUGUAAUUUCUCAUUUUUAACUUCUAUUCUCUUAUUUCUAACAAAGACAUGAUCAAAUCCAAAGUCUGAAAUCAAUAGACGUCGGUUCUACCAGAAACAAGCAGUACUUCAAUCUUUUCACAAAUUUUCCUACCUUCCAUCAUGGUACGAUAAACAAAGAUCUUGAUUUGUCUAUAUAGGUGAUGAUGCUUUGAAAAGAAGUUACAGGAUGACCUAUCAUGUGAUCUAUCUUCUUAUAAUAAUGAAUGAUUGUACAUAGGUGGAUCCCCAUUAACAUUGUCGUUUAGACCCUAUGGAAGCUAGAUCUAGAUCGGAAUUGGAUUUGCGGACUUAAUCAUCCCGGCAUGGUGAAUACUGCUCGAUGUGUGAUGAGUUUACGAGUUUCAUAAGAUAUUAAUAUUUGUGAUUCGAAUUAAAUAGACUGCAACCACCAAGGCCAUAUGACUUGUCCCACAUUUUUGUCCUACAAGCCGGCAUGAUUUGGGAUUUUAAUGGAUACCUAACAUUUUUUCUUCGAUGGUCCCGGGUAGAAAGAUAGCAAACAAGGACUUGAUGGAGAUCGAACCGACACAUGAUGCAUGUAAUUUUAAAUUACCUCAAGCUGCAAUCUCAGGUCAUGAGGCUUCUUCAACAUUUAGAUACAAUUCCGGGCCCAGCUAAUCGGGACUUCCUCCAAGCAAAGAUAAAAGAUCUUUUAUAUAUACGUCUGGAUCAAACUACUGUUCCAUAUGUUGAACCAUUUUAGACACAAUAGCAACUGGUCCAUGUGCAGGUCGUGUCUUUUACGUCAAGUUGGCAGCUAUCCGAAUUUUUUUGCCAUCAGAAGAGAGAGAAAGAUAAUUAGCUACCACCGUCGACCAGCGAGGAAGGAUCGCAAACCCUUGGCAUGGAUUUCACGUUGUCUUUGUGAUAACAGGAGGAGGGAGAAAGCUCAGUAUCUCCCACCAGCACGGGACAAGAAAGCAGCCUAAAUUAAUAUAGGAUACCCCUACACGCAAUCCGAGAACUUCUCUGGCCAUAGUCGAGUGGUCCAAAAGUCCCAGUAGAUCAAAUGUAGGAUCCCUGCAAAGAGAGUCGCGUGGAAAUAAGGUGACAACGGUGACUGGCAGCCUCAAUAAGGCGUGUGAAACCAGGACCAAUGAACCCUUGGGGUCCAUCUCCUUACAGCUUAAAUGUGUCCACCGUUUUUUGGGCCAAGAAUAGUGGAGGAAUUUCGUUGAUCUGGUGUACAGAUUAGACUUGUCUGGUAGGGACCUAACAAUUGAAUGAGGAGGCAACUGCUUGAAUGUGGACAAAAUCAUUUAAAAGUCAUUUUGCAGGAAGGAGAGUA
rnacentral:lncRNA from 1 species